rnacentral:rRNA from 1 species
ACGAACGCUGGCGGCAGGCUUAACACAUGCAAGUCGAACGGGCGUAGCAAUACGUCAGUGGCAGACGGGUGAGUAACACGUGGGAACCUUCCUAGGGGUACGGAACAACUCAGGGAAACUUGAGCUAAUACCGUAUACGUCCGUAAGGAGAAAGAUUCAUCGCCCCUAGACGGGCCCGCGUCGGAUUAGGUAGUUGGUGGGGUAACGGCCUACCAAGCCUACGAUCCGUAGCUGAUCUGAGAGGAUGAUCAGCCACACUGGGACUGAGACACGGCCCAGACUCCUACGGGAGGCAGCAGUGGGGAAUCUUGGACAAUGGGCGCAAGCCUGAUCCAGCCAUGCCGCGUGAGUGAAGAAGGCCUUAGGGUUGUAAAGCUCUUUUACCAGGGACGAUAAUGACGGUACCUGGAGAAUAAGCCCCGGCAAACUUCGU